GACGAACGCUGGCGGCGUGCUUAACACAUGCAAGUCGAACGGCAAGGCCCUGCUUUUGUGGGGUGCUCGAGUGGCGAACGGGUGAGUAACACGUGAGUAACCUGCCCUUGACUUUGGGAUAACUUCAGGAAACUGGGGCUACUACCGGAUAGGAGCUCCUGCUGCAUGGUGGGGGUUGGAAAGUUUCGGCGGUUGGGGAUGGACUCGCGGCUUAUCAGCUUGUUGGUGGGGUAGUGGCUUACCAAGGCUUUGACGGGUAGCCGGCCUGAGAGGGUGACCGGCCACAUUGGGACUGAGAUACGGCCCAGGCUCCUACGGGAGGCAGGAGUGGGGAAUAUUGCACAAUGGGCGGAAGCCUGGUGCAGCAACGCCGCGUGGGGGAUGACGGCCGUCGGGUUGUAAACCGCUUUCGCCUGUGACGAAGCGUGAGUGACGGUAAUGGGUAAAGAAGCACCGGCUAACUACGU
rnacentral:rRNA from 1 species